GACGAACGCUGGCGGCGUGCUUAACACAUGCAAGUCGAACGAAGUGGCGAACGGGUGAGUAAUACGUGGGUAACCUGCCCUCCUUUUUGGGAUAAGCCUUGGAAACGGGGUCUAAUACCGAAUAACGGGGGUUGGGCUCGCGGCCUAUCAGCUUGUUGGUGGGGGGAGGGCCUACCAAGGGGGUGACGGGUAGCCGGCCUGUGAGGGGAACAGGCCACAUUGGGACUGAGAUACGGCCCAGACUCCGACGGGAGGCAGCAGGGGGGGAUAUUGCACAAUGGGCGAAAGCCUGAUGCAGCGACGCCGCGUGGGGGAUGAAGGCUUUCGGGUUGUAAACCUCGUUCGCUAGCGAACGGGUAGGUGGAGAAGAAGCGCCGGCUAACUACGUGCCAGCAGCCGCGGUAAUUC
rnacentral:rRNA from 1 species